AGAGUUUGAUCAUGGCUCAGGACGAACGCUGGCGGCGCGCUUAACACAUGCAAGUCGAGCGAGAACCAGUCCUUCGGGACUGGGGACAGCGGCGAACGGGUGAGUAACACGUGGGUAAUCUGCCCUCGGCACUGGGAUAGCCCGGGGAAACCCGGAUUAAUACCGGAUGGCCUUUCGAGCCUUUGGGCUCGUCAGAAAAGGUGGCUUCGGCUUCCGGCUGAGGAUGAGCCCGCGGCGGAUUAGCUUGUUGGUGGGGUAAUGGCCUACCAAGGCGACGAUCCGUAGCUGGUCUGAGAGGACGGUCAGCCACACUGGGACUGAAACACGGCCCAGACUCCUACGGGAGGCAGCAGUGGGGAAUCUUGCGCAAUGGGCGAA
rnacentral:rRNA from 1 species